CGCGUAGGCGGAUAGUUUAGUCAGAGGUGAAAGCCCAGGGCUCAACCUUGGAAAUGCCUUUGAUACUGGCUAUCUUGAGUACGGGAGAGGUGUGUGGAACUCCGAGUGUAGAGGUGAAAUUCGUAGAUAUUCGGAAGAACACCGGUGGCGAAGGCGACACACUGGCCCGUUACUGACGCUGAGGCGCGAAAGCGUGGGGAGCAAACAG
rnacentral:rRNA from 1 species